rnacentral:rRNA from 1 species
AUUGAACGCUGGCGGCAGGCUUAACACAUGCAAGUCGAGCGAGCGGCGGACGGGUGAGUAAUGUCUGGGAAACUGCCUGAUGGAGGGGGAUAACUACUGGAAACGGUAGCUAAUACCGCAUACCAUCAGAUGUGCCCAGAUGGGAUUAGCUAGUAGGUGGGGUAAUGGCUCACCUAGGCGACGAUCCCUAGCUGGUCUGAGAGGAUGACGAGCCGUACUGGGACUGAGACACGGGCCAGACUCGUACGGGAGGCAGCAGUGGGGAAUAUUGCAAAAUGGGCGCAAGCCUGAGGCAGCCAUGCCGCGUGGAUGAAGAAGGCCUUAGGGUUGUAAAGUACGUUCAGCGGGGAGGCGUUACCCGCAGAAGAAGCACCGGCUAACUCCGUGCCAGCAGCCGCGGUAAUAC